GUUUUAGCCUGUCAUUAGACGAGUUAGGGCUUCGUCCUAUUACCAGAAAUACAGAGUAAACGAAAUUAGGGCGUCGUUGGUUCAUCCAUGGCAGAGAUUGAGGUACCUUGGGAUGAUGCUGGAAGAGGAGGGAUUGCGGUGGUUGGAGAUUUGAAAGAGUCAUCGUCGCCGGUCCAUAAGAAGCAGAGAUCGGACGAAAAAGAUGAACUGGAGUUUUAUGACGAAGACAUUCGGCAAAUAAAUUUACAAGCUGAUCAAUUGGUUUAUACCGAAAAAGACCAUGCCUUGGAUAGCAUCAUUUCAAUUCUGAACGACUACUACCCUGAUGGCUGCAAUGACGAGAAUGAUGUAUGGUUUAAGUACUGGCGACAGCUCGUAGAUAGCGAGGGCUUUGAUAUUGACCCUAUCCCGUACCAUGAUACUACGAAGCUGCCUAUCCCGUACCAUGAUACUAGGAACCUGGCCUUCGUUCCAUUACUGGAGUUGGAAAAUUAUCCAGGCAUUCAUGAGCGUAUUAUUAAACAGGCAAACCUUGCAAUUGAGCAUCACAACCAAAAGAAAGACACAGACUAUGAGUUUGCGAAGGUUGAGAAGGCAAACGCACGAUUUUGGGGUCCAACUGGUACCAAUUUUUAUAUUACCUUCCUGGCCAAGGAUUCUUAUGCUGCUUGUGGUUUGACUACCUUUCAAGCUCUGGUAUGGGAAGGUGCAGAACCUGAUGAAUACUAUGUCAAGUUCUGCAGGCCUAAAGUAGUUGCAAAUUGACUUAUCUCUUGUAAGUAGUUGCAAAUAGAUAUAAAGGUAUGCAUUUCAUCUUACCUGAAGGGGCGGCCGACAACUAAUACAGUCAUGAAUAUACGGAUAUUCACUACUCAGGGUAAGACCUCUUGCUUUAGCAUAGUCAAAGAGUCUAAUUGUGUGGUAUGCUUCAAAUCUCUGUUGUUUGAUGUCUUCAUCUCUGGCCCCAUCCCUCCUUUUUACACAGUUGAGAAUUUCUUGCAUGGAUAAGGGGAUUUGUGACUCUUCCCUGUGACAAGUCUGAUAUUGGGAUGCGAUUGCUUCUGAACCAACAACUGCCCAACAGACAUCUGGAGCAGGACAUGAGGUUCAGAUCGCCAUGAAAAAGAUUCCUAUAAGUAAAGAAAUAAAAGUUUGUAAACAACUUAUACUAAGCAUCAACCUAUAGUUUAAGUAUUGUAUAAUUUUUUAUGGCAAAUCCAAGUGCCAUCACAAAGAUGCAAAAACGAAUUAAAAAAAUAAAAAAAAAUCUAAGGCAUAACAAGUAACGACACUGUUGUGGUACAGAACCAGAAUUGUUGCAGGAAAUGGAAAUAAGUAGACUUCAGAAAUGAAUUUAGCAGGUUUGCAGACACAAUGAAUUCAAACGAAAACCUUCAUUGCAUUCAUUAAUGGGGGUUAAUUCCGGAACUGAAUCAGACUUGGCGGGAAAAGUGUAGAAGGGGAAAACAGAAUGGGGGUUAACUCCGGAACUGAUGAGGGGUUCUGGAGUGUUUCUUGAUAAUGUUCGGAUACAAUGGGGGUUAACUGGCGGGAACUGAUGGGGGGAUGCAAGCCCUGUUCGUCCAAAGUUCUGAGACAUCACCCUACGGGCUUUUCAGUGGCAGGGGCCAAAAUGUGUAUAUAUAUAUCUAUCUGCUAUAUGUAAUUUGGAACGGAGGUAAGGGAGGUUAAUGCAAACUAAAUACUUAAUGGCCGUCCUUGAGAUCCUGAUAGGUGUAUUAAUCAGUAGUAACUAAGGUUUUUUGUUCGACUUUCAAUAAUUCUUUUUCUCUUUUUAAAUUAAAAAAUGAAUUAAAUUACUCAAUAUUCAAAAUGCACUUGGCUUGUUAAAGAUUCCUUCAAACUUAAUUUGCUAACUAAUCAAGCUAGACAAUUUUGUUUGUAGUUUUAAAUUUUCUACACCUAAAAAUUGAUUUUCUCAAAUUUAAGUGAAUUACUCCCUCAAAGUGCAUUCAUCAUUCGUCAAAACAGGCAAAAGUGAGGGAGUAAGGGUGCUAAAGAUUUUACAUCCUUCUUCUACAGGCAUGGAUAGAGCAUAUUUUGACAGGUGAUCAGCAGUCUGUUUGAAUUCUCAUUUACAAUGACAUAGCUUUAGAUGGGGGGGGGUUCCUUUUUAGCAGCUGCAAGCAGUCUUGCAGGAGUGCUUUUUGCAGGAGUGCUUUCUUUUGGUUUUCCUUCGAUCUCCCUGCUUCUUGAAGCUCCAGUAGGCUGUCCACAACAAUUUUUGAGUCGGAAAGAAUUAAAAUUUCAGUAAAAUUGCAUGUUGUGUGUGAAGUAAAACAAUUUUACAUUCUAUGCGUACUUGGUUGCACAAUAGUACAUGUGUUCAUGGACCCAAAAAAGAAAAAGAAAUUAAAA